GUAUCAGAUUGAGUCAGUGUCA
rnacentral:piRNA from 1 species